UGCCAAAAAAGAUCAGCAUGUUUUAUAGCGUUUACAUUUUCUAAAUUAUUGACAACAGGCUGUAUUAAUAAGGAAUUAUUUUCUUGAAGGACAUCAACGUUGACUUCGUCAUCAACAAUGUCCAUAGAAUUGAUAACUGAUAAAUUAUCAUUAUCGCAGCCACUAUCAUAACAUUGAUUUACAUUUAAGUGAGGUAUUGCACCUGGUUUUAUUGUAGCUCUGCACCUGUCAGAUACAAAAACAUUUCCAUCUGGUAACGUUGUGCUAUCUAACUUAAUAAUAUCAGUUUUUUUAAAAUGUAAUUCACAAACACAGUUUGUUGAUUUCAACUCUUGGCCAAUUGCUGUGCUCCAUUUUUCCAUACGUUGGAGUUCGGACUGCUGCUAGUGGCGAAAAUAAGAACUAUGAUCUCUACACUUUUUUGAGGACGUAGAAACGGACGAAUCGCCUAUACCAUUCGGUCUCCUGUUAUCUAUUCUUCAUGGCAAUAGGCUUAGAUAUAAUGGCCGCUCCAUUUAAUUGGAGUACUGGUAAAUUAGAUCUCGACAGAGCCGGUUGGAUGACUCCGGGAACUGUUCAUCGAGAAAAUAUGUAUGUAUUUCAAUAUCUUUGGUCGAGCAAGAACAGAUCUUGAUGAUCCACUUAAACCACUAUUUAGUUUACCGGUUCUACAAAAAGGAAUUGUUAAAUUCGCAAGAUCAGAUUUAGCUAAAGAUGCUGGACAAAGUGUUUAUCCAUAUUUUGAUUCGCAAGAAGUAGUAACAGAUCCCAGUUUUCCAUUGGGCGGUAUUGGAUUAUUUAAAAGAGGUACUGAAGGUUUUGGUGGUUUCGUUGCACCAAAAAUAUAUACAGCAAAUAUUAUAAAGGAUCAUAUUCAAUAUACCGUAAACAAUAUGUUGCAGCAGACUAUAUAUAAAUAGUUUUAUGAUUAUCGAAUAAUUAAUAAUGUUUUUAUUUUAAUUAUUUUAAUAAUAUGAUAAAUAAUUCAGAAAUUUUAUGAGAAUCUUUUUAAAAAAUUAAUUCAAUUUAUAUCGAAUGUAUUGCUGAUGAAAUACCUCUGAAUACACUAGGCUUAAGACGUAGAUAAGUAGUAACGUAGAGGCCAUUUUGAAAACAUAAAAAUAAAAAAUUUUUUAAUUUUUUAAAAUAAAAUUUGUCUUGAAAUUAUAGCGGUAUUAAAUACACGUAUUUUCCAUUUAAAACUUUGGCUGCCGUGGCUGUAAAUUGACAGGAAUUUUUUUUCAUUUAUUUGGAAGCAAUUUAGGACUAUCAUAAAAAAAAAUUCAAAAAUUCUCAAAAUAAGGACCAUCCUAUUGAUUAUACAUAAUUAUAUGCAAUUCAUAUCUAGUAAUAUAUAAUCCAUAUAUAAUUAGAUAUAAUAAUAUGUAUGUAAGUAUUUAUAGAAAAUAGCCCAAUGUAAUUAUAUAUAAAUAUAAUGGGUUUUUUUUUAUAUAUAAUCAAGACAAUUUGCAAGUCUUCCUGAUUGUCUUGCUAAUUGUCUUUAUGGUGUUCUUCCCUGAUUAAACAACUGAAUUCGAUCGAAUUAAACAGAAUUGAAUUUUUAAUUCUAUAUAAUUCAGAUAAUUUCUGUUAAUUCGGCAGGAAAACCAGAAUUUAUCCAAAUUGAAAAGAAUUUCAAUAAUUCUAUUCGGUUUAAUUCUAUUUAAUUAGAAAAUAAUUCUCAAAUUUCUGGUUCUGACUCCAAUCUAAACUGAAUUAAAACAAAUUUAAAAUUUUUAAAUCGGGUUUAUUCUGUUUAAUUCAAAAAUAAUCCUCGAAUUUCUGGUUCUAACUCCGAAUUAAACUAAAUUAAAAAAUUCAAAAUUUUUAAAUCGUUUUUAUUUUGUUUCAUUACAAAAUAAUUUUUGUUUUUCUGAAUAUCGUUUUAAAUUAAACCGUGUUAGAAUUUUUUAAAUUGAUGUACUUGUGUUUAUUUGGGAAAUAAUCCGCGAAUUUUUUAUUCAGAUUUUGAAUGUUACCGAAUUUAACAGAAUUAAAAUUUUUAAUUCGGUCGAAUUCAAUCGUUUAAUCAGGGUUGCUAAUUAUCUUUCUGAUUGUCUUAUUGACAUAUUUUUUUUACAAUCUUAAUUUCGACGUUCUUUUAUGACAUUCGAUAUUUGAAUAUAUCUUUUGAGUUAAUUCACGUGAAUUUGCUCGCGAUCAUCAUUUUGAUACAGGGAAAUUUGCGCGAAUUCUUUUCUUUUAUUCUUAUUGUUGAGCACAAACUUCCGUGCCUUUUAUUAAUCAUACAUUAAUUAUAUACAAUUUUAUCUAAUUAUAUGUAAUUAAAUAUAAUUAGCUAAGUAAUAAAUAAACUGUCAUUUAAUUAUAUAUAAAUCGUAAUCUAUAUGCGAUUUUUUCUACCCGGGUGUGGCAAUACAUUUAAUGUGUAUUAAAAUAAUAACUUGUAACACACUUGGAUUUAAAUUAAUAAAAAAAAAAUUUAAUAAGAAAUAACUGAUACAA